rnacentral:rRNA from 1 species
GUGGGGAAUCUUCCGCAAUGGACGAAAGUCUGACGGAGCGACGCCGCGUGAGUGAAGAAGGCCUUCGGGUCGUAAAGCUCUGUCAUCAGGGACGAACGGCCGGUGGAGUGGAAAGCCACCGGAUUGACGGUACCUGAGAAGGAAGCCACGGCUAACUACGUGCCAGCAGCCGCGGUAAUACGUAGGUGGCAAGCGUUGUCCGGAAUUAUUGGGCGUAAAGCGCGCGCAGGUGGGAUCUUAAGUCCAUUUUUAAAGUUCGGAGCUCAACUCCGUGAUGUGAUGGAAACUGGGAUUCUUGAGUACCGGAGAGGAAAGCGGAAUUCCCCGUGUAGCGGUGAAAUGCGUAGAUAUGGGGAGGAACACCAGUGGCGAAGGCGGCUUUCUGGACGGUGUCUGACACUGAGGCGCGAAAGCUAGGGGAGCGAACGGGAUUAGAUACCCGGGUAGUCC